rnacentral:rRNA from 1 species
GAUGAACGCUGGCGGCGUGCCUAAUACAUGCAAGUCGAGCGAACGGACGAGAAGCUUGCUUCUCUGAUGUUAGCGGCGGACGGGUGAGUAACACGUGGAUAACCUACCUAUAAGACUGGGAUAACUUCGGGAAACCGGAGCUAAUACCGGAUAAUAUUUUGAACCGCAUGAUUCAGAAGUGAAAGACGGUCUUGCUGUCACUUAUAGAUGGAUCCGCGCUGCAUUAGCUAGUUGGUAAGGUAACGGCUUACCAAGGCAACGAUGCAUAGCCGACCUGAGAGGGUGAUCGGCCACACUGGAACUGAGACACGGUCCAGACUCCUACGGGAGGCAGCAGUAGGGAAUCUUCCGCAAUGGGCGAAAGCCUGACGGAGCAACGCCGCGUGAGUGAUGAAGGUCUUCGGAUCGUAAAACUCUGUUAUUAGGGAAGAACAUAUGUGUAAGUAACUGUGCACAUCUUGACGGUACCUAAUCAGAAAGCCACGGCUAACUACGUG